rnacentral:rRNA from 1 species
GAUGAACGCUGGCGGCGUGCCUAAUACAUGCAAGUCGAGCGAACAGACGAGGAGCUUGCUCCUCUGACGUUAGCGGCGGACGGGUGAGUAACACGUGGAUAACCUACCUAUAAGACUGGGAUAACUUCGGGAAACCGGAGCUAAUACCGGAUAAUAUCUUGAACCGCAUGGUUCAAUAGUGAAAGACGGUUUUGCUGUCACUUAUAGAUGGAUCCGCGCCGCAUUAGCUAGUUGGUAAGGUAACGGCUUACCAAGGCAACGAUGCGUAGACGACCUGCGAGGGUGAUCGGCCACACUGGAACGGAGACACGGUCCAGACGCCUACGGGAGGCAGCAGUAGGGAAUCUUCCGCAAUGGGCGAAAGCCUGACGGAGCAACGCCGCGUGAGUGAUGAAGGUCUUCGGAUCGUAAAACUCUGUUAUUAGGGAAGAACAAAUGUGUAAGUAACUAUGCACGUCUUGACGGUACCUAAUCAGAAAGCCACGGCUAACUACGUG